rnacentral:rRNA from 1 species
UGGCGGCGUGCCUAAUACAUGCAAGUCGAACGGAAAUCUUCGGAUUUUAGUGGCGAACGGGUGAGUAACACGUAAGCAACCUGCCUUUAAGACGAGGAUAACAAUUGGAAACAGUUGCUAAGACUGGAUAGGAAAUAAAAAGGCAUCUUUUUAUUUUUAAAAAACCUUUUUCGGAAGGUAUGCUUAAAGAGGGGCUUGCGUCACAUUAUUUAGUUGGCAGGGUAAAGGCCUACCAAGACUAUGAUGUGUAGCUGGACUGAGAGGUUGAACAGCCACUUUGGGACUGAAACACGGCCCAAACUCCUACGGGAGGCAGCAGUAGGGAAUUUUCGGCAAUGGAGGAAACUCUGACCGAGCAACGCCGCGUGAACGAUGAAGUAUUUCGGUAUGUAAAGUUCUUUUAUUGAAGAAAAAAAAAUAGUGGAAAAACUAUCUUGACGAUAUUCAAUGAAUAAGCCCCGGCAAACUAUGUGCCAGCAGCCGCGGUAAUACAUAGGGGGCGAGCGUUAUCCGGAAUUAUUGGGCGUAAAGGGUGCGUAGGCGGUUUAAUAAGUCUAUAGUUUAAUUUCAGUGCUUAACACUGUCCUGCUAUAGAAACUAUUAGACUAGAGUGAGAUAGAGGCAAGUGGAAUUCCAUGUGUAGCGGUAAAAUGCGUAAAUAUAUGGAGGAACACCAGAGGCGUAGGCGGCUUGCUGGGUCUUUACUGACGCUGAGGCACGAAAGCGUGGGGAGCAAACAGGAUUAGAUACCCUGGUAGUCCACGCCGUAAACGAUGAGUACUAAGUGUCGGGAUUACUCGGUACUGAAGUUAACACAUUAAGUACUCCGCCUGAGUAGUACGUACGCAAGUAUGAAACUUAAAGGAAUUGACGGGACUCCGCACAAGCGGUGGAUCAUGUUGUUUAAUUUGAAGAUACACGAAAAACCUUACCAGGUCUUGACAUACUCUGCAAAGCUAUAGCAAUAUAGUGGAGGUUAUCAGGGAUACAGGUGGUGCAUGGUUGUCGUCAGCUCGUGUCGUGAGAUGUUAGGUUAAGUCCUAAAACGAGCGCAACCCUUGUCAUUAGUUGCCAGCAUGUCAUGAUGGGCACUUUAAUGAGACUGCCAAUGAAAAAUUGGAGGAAGGUGAGGAUCACGUCAAAUCAUCAUGCCCCUUAUGAUCUGGGCUAC